GAGCAAAUCACAAGGCAAACUCAGAUUCAAAGGAAUGAGGAAAUAGCCUCUUGAUGGGAUGAGGUUCAAAGUUCCACUGCAAAACACAUGAAACAGAGAGGCAGGAAAAACAGGAAUAAUGCCUGCAAUCAAUCAAUCUGCCACAGUAAAAUAGCACAAGGUGCCAAGGGAGCAUAUAGAACAUGCAUAUAUUCCAGCCUAGAAAGUCAGCUCUUUCCCAGAGGCUGCAAUUUCUGGGCUUAAUCUUGAAUGAUGGUUGUCACUGAAAAGGCUCAAGGAGCUCUCUUGUUCCUUCCACCAUCUGAGAACACAGUGAGAAGUCCCCAGGCUUCAACCUGAAAAAGGGCCCUCAUCAGAACCUGAUCAUCAGAACUUGGCACCCCAAUCUUUGUCUUCUGAUCUACAUUGUGACCUAAGUCAGUUAUACUCUCUUCUGCUGCCAUGUGAGAAGGCCCAGGCUUGCUUCCCCUUCACCUUCCGCCAUGACUAACUUUCACAUGACGUGAAACUUAACUUCAUUCAGCACUGUACUCCCAUAGCACCUCACUGGAAAGGCAUUCCCUGGCAACCUUCUUUAUAAUGAAGGUGUUCAACUGAUAAAGAUUCAACUUGGAAAGGGAUCUACUUACUUCCUGAUAAUAUGCAACAAAACAGAUACAAGGG
rnacentral:lncRNA from 10 species